GACGAACGCUGGCGGCGUGCUUAACACAUGCAAGUCGAACGGAAAGGCCCUGCUUUUGUGGGGUGCUCGAGUGGCGAACGGGUGAGUAACACGUGAGUAACCUGCCCUUGACUUUGGGAUAACUUCAGGAAACUGGGGCUAAUACCGGAUAGGAGCUCCUGCUGCAUGGUGGGGGUUGGAAAGUUUCGGCGGUUGGGGAUGGACUCGCGGCUUAUCAGCUUGUUGGUGGGGUAGUGGCUUACCAAGGCUUUGACGGGUAGCCGGCCUGAGAGGGUGACCGGCCACAUUGGGACUGAGAUACGGCCCAGACUCGUACGGGAGGCAGCAGUGGGGAAUAUUGCACAAUGGGCGGAAGCGUGAUGCAGCAACGCCGCGUGCGGGAUGACGGCCUGCGGGUUGUAAACCGCUGUCGCCUGUGACGAAGCGGGAGUGACGGUAAUGGGUAAAGAAGCACCGGCUAACUACGUG
rnacentral:rRNA from 1 species